CAAGUCGAACGGCAGCACGGGAGCUUGCUCCUGGUGGCGAGUGGCGAACGGGUGAGUAAAGCAUCGGAACGUACCUUGUCGAGGGGGAUAACGCAGCGAAAGUUGUGCUAAUACCGCAUACGCCCUGAGGGGGAAAGUGGGGGAUCGCAAGACCUCACGUUAUUCGAGCGGCCUAUGCCUGAUUAGCUAGUUGGUGGGGUAAAGGCCUACCAAGGCGACGAUCAGUAGCUGGUCUGAGAGGAUGAUCAGCCACACUGGGACUGAGACACGGCCCAGACUCCUACGGGAGGCAGCAGUGGGGAAUUUUGGACAAUGGGGGCAACCCUGAUCCAGCCAUGCCGCGUGAGUGAAGAAGGCCUUCGGGUUGUAAACUUUUUUGUACGGAACGAAAAGACUCCUUCUAAUAAAGGGGGUUCAUGACGGUACCGUAAGAAUAAGCACCGGCUAACUACGUGCCAGCAGCCGCGGUAAUA
rnacentral:rRNA from 1 species